ACAGAUGUUGGCGAUUACAACAUCAAGUUGCGUGCUAUUCUUCGUUUCCUUGAAGAAGGCAACAAGGUAAAAAUUACCUUACGCUUCCGUGGUCGUGAAAUGGCUCACCAACAAUUAGGUUUGGCUCAAUUACAAAAAGUUGAAGCAGACGUAAUUGAAUUUGGUACUGUUGAACAGGCACCAAAAAUGGAAGGUCGUCAAAUGGGUAUGCUCAUUGGACCAAAACGUAAAAAAUAAGCACUCAUUGAAUAAAAAAGCACUGCAUGGGCAGUGCUUUUUUAUGCCUGCCUUUUUUACUUAUUGUUGUAGAGGACUACUGUUUUUACCUG
rnacentral:misc_RNA from 1 species